UGUGAAUAGACCUUGGGUUUUUGCUCGUUGUGAGGCACUAAAAAUGUGUGAGUGUGCGUGCGCGUUUGUGCAACUGGGACCCCACUUGACAAGUGCGGCAAUGGUGUAGGCGGACGGAGCAUUACGUGAAGCCAAGGGCAAGCUGCGACCUUGAACAUGCAGAGCAAGUUAUUUUUAGGCUAUGACGACUCCUCGCACCCGUGCAUGUUGGGGCAUGCAGCGAGGUCGCCGCUAUAUAAGUGGGGAGGAUGUGUAAAGAGGCAGCAGUCUUCGCAUCGCUUCGGGAGUGUGCGGAGCUCGCUUCAAAAUGCCUAGAUGCGUGUUCUGCUUUUUUGAUCCUCAUGAUAUCGGUGAUGAUGAGCCAUUGGAAGAGAAUUCACCAUCUUCUCCAGACAUUUCACCUGGCACAUUGCAUGCUCACGUCGAGCGAUCACAUCCCUAUGUGGACAUUUCCUUCCUGCCUUUCUUUCAAACUGAUAGCGCAUUUCGAGGUACCGUCAAAGCGUUUGUGCUAUUGGCAUCUGUUCACGAUCAGGGAGUAGAGGACUUGCGACAAUAUUUAAUGAACCACCUCCACAAUAUAAUUGCUAUUUUGCGAGCGCAAAGAAUACCCUUUAGAUUUUGCAUUUGUUCUGACGUUCUAAUGAUGAAAGAAAAUCGAGGGGAUAUAACCGCACACAUAGCUCAUUUUAUGGCGCUUGCUCGCGAAGUCCACAGCGACGGAGCUAUUGCAAAUACUUUGAUGGACGUGAUUCAGGAGUCCACCGGGCGCAUUGAAAAUUACCAGCGUGAGGG